CUGGCUAUCAUUCAGCGACUAAACGCGAAGCACGUUAUUUGUUCCCGUGAAUUUGUUUAUCUGUGACUAAUCAACAAUUUAAAGCUAUGCCGCCGCCUCACGCAAUGCCCUGUGGGCCGCAUUGCGGUACUUACUGCGCGCCGCACUGCUAUCACCGCCGACCGCCUCCGCCGCCUCACCACCAUCCGCCACACCACCAUCCGCCGCCGCCGCCGCAUCAUCACCAUCCACCGCCGCCACCUCAUCACCAUCAGCCACCACCUCAUCACCACCCGCCACCACCCCCGCAUCAUCACCACCCGCCGCCGCCACCGUUCCACCACCCUCCGCACCACCACGGGCCGCCGCACCACUGGCGAUAGACUGUUUUGAAAAGAUCUUCAAGCUGUGAUAAAUGAUAAUGUGGAAUACUUACAUUAAGAUCUUGAAGAGUUAUUAAUUUCGAAGAUCUGUUUGUAGCGUGAUUUUAAACUGUAUUUUAUCGUGAUUCUUGAACAUUGAAGUGGAUUUUAUUAUUUACUGUGUUAGCAAUGUUUAACUUAUUACUCGUACAUUUGUUGUAUUAAACG